rnacentral:rRNA from 1 species
UGUUCCUACGGGACGCAGCAGUGAGGAAUAUUGGUCAAUGGGAGAGAUCCUGAACCAGCCAAGCCGCGUGAGGGAAGACGGCCCUAUGGGUUGUAAACCUCUUUUGUCGGAGAACAAAACCCGGGACGUGUCCCGGACUGCGUGUAUCCGAAGAAAAAGCAUCGGCUAACUCCGUGCCAGCAGCCGCGGUAAUACGGAGGAUGCGAGCGUUAUCCGGAUUUAUUGGGUUUAAAGGGUGCGUAGGCGGUCCGUUAAGUCAGCGGUAAAAUCGCGGGGCUCAACCUCGCUCCGCCGUUGAAACUGGC